UUCUGUUCUGCCAUUCGGUAGAGAUCUAUACAGUAGUUAAAACCUAAGCUGUAGGAAGCAGGAGGGAAGAAGUAAAUCCCUGACACAUUCACUACUUCUAUUUUACAAAAACUUUGUGCGCCUCAGAUGGUUGGUUAUCUGUUCAAAUAUCCUUCAGAUCCAGUACUCAGACAUGCUGCAAUCCUUAAUCAGAUAGAUGCUUCUACCUCCAGUACUCCUACUGCAAUGCUUCCUCCACAACAGAAAAAUUAUAAUGCUGUGAUCAAUUUUCCUAUCAUACAUGCUCGAACGCCUGAUCGUACACCUGCCUUUAACUUGGG